rnacentral:rRNA from 1 species
CUUGCUCCCGGAUGUUAGCGGCGGACGGGUGAGUAACACGUGGGUAACCUGCCUGUAAGACUGGGAUAACUCCGGGAAACCGGAGCUAAUACCGGAUAGUUCCUUGAACCGCAUGGUUCAAGGAUGAAAGACGGUUUCGGCUGUCACUUACAGAUGGACCCGCGGCGCAUUAGCUAGUUGGUGAGGUAACGGCUCACCAAGGCGACGAUGCGUAGCCGACCUGAGAGGGUGAUCGGCCACACUGGGACUGAGACACGGCCCAGACUCCUACGGGAGGCAGCAGUAGGGAAUCUUCCGCAAUGGACGAAAGUCUGACGGAGCAACGCCGCGUGAGUGAUGAAGGUUUUCGGAUCGUAAAGCUCUGUUGUUAGGGAAGAACAAGUGCAAGAGUAACUGCUUGCACCUUGACGGUACCUAACCAGAAAGCCACGGCUAACUACGUGCCAGCAGCCGCGGUAAUACGUAGGUGGCAAGCGUUGUCCGGAAUUAUUGGGCGUAAAGGGCUCGCAGGCGGUUUCUUAAGUCUGAUGUGAAAGCCCCCGGCUCAACCGGGGAGGGUCAUUGGAAACUGGGAAACUUGAGUGCAGAAGAGGAGAGUGGAAUUCCACGUGUAGCGGUGAAAUGCGUAGAGAUGUGGAGGAACACCAGUGGCGAAGGCGACUCUCUGGUCUGUAACUGACGCUGAGGAGCGAAAGCGUGGGGAGCGAACAGGAUUAGAUACCCUGGUAGUCCACGCCGUAAACGAUGAGUGCUAAGUGUUAGGGGGUUUCCGCCCCUUAGUGCUGCAGCUAACGCAUUAAGCACUCCGCCUGGGGAGUACGGUCGCAAGACUGAAACUCAAAGGAAUUGACGGGGGCCCGCACAAGCGGUGGAGCAUGUGGUUUAAUUCGAAGCAACGCGAAGAACCUUACCAGGUCUUGACAUCCUCUGACAACCCUAGAGAUAGGGCUUUCCCUUCGGGGACAGAGUGACAGGUGGUGCAUGGUUGUCGUCAGCUCGUGUCGUGAGAUGUUGGGUUAAGUCCCGCAACGAGCGCAACCCUUGAUCUUAGUUGCCAGCAUUCAGUUGGGCACUCUAAGGUGACUGCCGGUGACAAACCGGAGGAAGGUGGGGAUGACGUCAAAUCAUCAUGCCCCUUA